GACGAGUGAACUUGUUCACGAAGCAAUCGGAAGUGGUUCCAAGAAAAGCCUCUAAGCUUCAGUCAUACGAGACCGUACCGCAAACCGACACAGGUGGGCGAGAUGAGUAUUCUAAGGCGCUUGAGAGAACUCGGGAGAAGGAACUCGGCAAAUUGGUACCGUAACUUCGGGAAAAGGUACGCCCCGGUAGCUUGAUUGGUUUACUCCAUGAGGGUGAAAGGGUUGCAAUAAACUGGUGGCUGCGACUGUUUAAUAAAAACACAGCACUCUGCAAACACGAAAGUGGACGUAUAGGGUGUGACGCCUGCCCGGUGCUGGAAGAUUAAAUGAUGGGGUGCAAGCUCUUGAUUGAAGUCCCAGUAAACGGCGGCCGUAACUAUAACGGUCCUAAGGUAGCGAAAUUCCUUGUCGGGUAAGUUCCGACCUGCACGAAUGGCGUAACGAUGGCCACACUGUCUCCUCCCGAGACUCAGCGAAGUUGAAAUGUUUGUGAUGAUGCAAUCUACCCGCGGCUAGACGGAAAGACCCCAUGAACCUUUACUGUAGCUUUGCAUUGGACUUUGAACCAAUCUGUGUAGGAUAGGUGGGAGGCUUUGAAGCGGGGACGCUAGUUCUCGUGGAGCCAACCUUGAAAUACCACCCUGGUUUGUUUGAGGUUCUAACCUUGGUCCGUUAUCCGGAUCGGGGACAGUGCAUGGUAGGCAGUUUGACUGGGGCGGUCUCCUCCUAAAGUGUAACGGAGGAGUUCGAAGGUACGCUAGAUACGGUCGGACAUCGUGUUGAUAGUGCAAUGGCAUAAGCGUGCUUAACUGCGAGACUGACAAGUCGAGCAGGUACGAAAGUAGGACAUAGUGAUCCGGUGGUUCUGUAUGGAAGGGCCAUCGCUCAACGGAUAAAAGGUACUCUGGGGAUAACAGGCUGAUUCCUCCCAAGAGUUCAUAUCGACGGGGGAGUUUGGCACCUCGAUGUCGGCUCAUCACAUCCUGGGGCUGUAGCCGGUCCCAAGGGUAUGGCUGUUCGCCAUUUAAAGUGGUACGUGAGCUGGGUUUAAAACGUCGUGAGACAGUUUGGUCCCUAUCUGCCGUGGGCGUUGGAAAUUUGAAGGGGGCUGCUCCUAGUACGAGAGGACCGGAGUGGACGAACCUCUGGUGUACCGGUUGUCACGCCAGUGGCAUUGCCGGGUAGCUAAGUUCGGAAGAGAUAACCGCUGAAAGCAUCUAAGCGGGAAACUUGCCUUGAGAUGAGAUUUCCCAGAGCCUUGAGCUCUUUGAAGGGUCGUUCGAGACCAGGACGUUGAUAGGCUGGGUGUGGAAGUGCAGUAAUGCAUUAAGCUAACCAGUACUAAUUGCCCGUACGGCUUGUCCCUAUAACCUUAGCAGGU
rnacentral:rRNA from 1 species